rnacentral:lncRNA from 1 species
GAGGGAGGGAGGGAGGGAUGGAUGGAUGGAUGGAUGGAUGGAUGGAUGGAUGGAUGGAUAGAGAGACGGGCAGCUGAGGGACAAGGGGACCAUCUCCCCGCUGCCCCGCACUAGGGCCCGGCAGGAUGGGGAGCGCUGGGCAUCGGCACUGCAGCGGGCACAGCGGGAGGCCCUGGAGCGGGAGGCCACGCGUGGUGCUGAGCAGGCGCGGCAGCAGGAGCUCAUCCGUGACAUGAAGGGGCGGCUGCUGGAGCUGCUGCGGGAGAAGGAUGCCCUGUGGCAGAAGACAGAGGGCAUUGACACCCCGAUGCCCAGCCCAGCGCCUCGCGAUGUGGGGCUCUGCACCCGCUGCCACAAGGAUUUCCGCCUCCUCUCCCGGCGGUACAACUGCAGGCUGUGCCAGGGCAAGGUGUGCCAUGCGUGUUCCGUGGACGUGGGCAAACAGGGGCGCUGCUGCCUGCUUUGCUACCAGCAAAGGCACCCACAGGCUACAUGAGCCCCCAGGACCACAGCCCUCCCACCACACCUGGGACAACCCCUGCCCUGGCUGCCUCCUCUUGGACUUACCGGGGACCCAGGGGUCUGGAGCCUGCGGGCAGGUCCUGCUGCCCGACAUUUCGGGUUUGAGACGUGUCUUUCUUGUGGCUGGUCCACGGAGAAGAAACCAACCUGCUUCUGCUACCCCUGUGGCUCCCGUGUCGUCUGUCGGUUGUCGCUGGAUUGACUUCCAGGCUGGGUGCGAGGUGUGGGGGGAUGCCAGUAUAGGGGUGUCUGAGCCCUUUUGGGGGUACCAUCCCCAUAAGGGGUGUCCCAGCUGCGGCCAGGCUGAGCUGCCAUCUGCCCUGUCCCACAGCAGGGAGGCAGCAGCAGGCAGGAGAGACGACUCUUGGCCAACAGCCCCGGCUUCCUGCCAGGCUGGGAGGAACCGCUUGGGCAAGAGGCUUCCCAGAUGCAAAGGUGAUGGGCUGUCCCUGCCCAGAACCCCGGUUAUCCUGCCUAGCCCCGGGUCCCCAGAACUCUCCACAUGGGUGCCAGGGGACCCUCAUACCCACCCAUGAGCCAGUUCAGAGCUGGCACCCACUGAUGCCCCCACAGUUAUGGACCCCCAGGAACCUGGAGCAGGGGGAACAGAGGAGCAGUACAGGACCCCCAUGGAGAGUUGCUUAGGCAUGGUGGAACAGGCAUCCUGGUCCCUGGCAUGCAGGGUGGCAGAAGUGACCCCGGCAGGGUCACUGCCCCCUCUUCAGCCCCUCUGCCCCACUCCAGUGCCAGCCCCAGUUGCCCAAGCCAGAGCGGAAACGUCCUGGUUGUGCAAGGGACAGGUUCCCAGCCCUUUGCACAAUGAUGUUCUAGAACCACAAUGCCGGGGCCGGGUGGGGACA